ACUGACUUAAGAGGCGUUUUACCCUCCUCCAGCCCCGUGCCUGCAUCCUUGGUUGUUCCAGUGUAUCAGACAGCCACACACCCACCUGUCCCACCUCCCAUGCUACAGCAGAUUGCACAGGAUUGCAUCCAGAGUCCUUCACAUCAGGAGUACACAACACAAAUACCAUAGGAGAAGCCAUCCAGUCAGCUGCUGCUAUCAAGGAGCAAAUCUUACCAAGACUGGCACUAAUAUCUUCCUUUGGGGACAGAGAAGGGAACAUAGAAAUACUGGUUUUCAAAUAAUCACAUGGUAGUUGUUUCCACAUGAAGCAUUUUGGAAGUAAGUAUUUAAUUGCAAUUCAGAUGAAGAUAAACAGCAAAUUUAGGUCUUUUUUAUACCUGAAAACCAUCAGGUAUAUAUACUUAUGGAAUACCAAGAAUAUAUAGAGCCUAAGUGUAUGGAAACUUAUAAAAGUAACUGUAAUGAUAGUUCACAAUAUGAUAAUUACUUACUGGUAACCUUGCCAAGGAAACUAUAUGCUUUUUUUCAGGAAAAAUAUGAGGCAACAGCAAUUAGUAUAGACUUUUACUCCAUAUGUACAAAGAAUUAGUGCAGAGCAGAAAGUAAACCUCAUUUUUAUAUCAUUUAAUUAUUUCUAUAUUGCUCAUUUCUAUAACCCAUUUCUUCUUCUUAUGUAUAAGGAACAGACAACAUUUUUCAUAAAUUUAACUGAAUGGCUGAAGGUACUGAAACUUCUGUGAAGACUGAUUUUAUUCUAAAGGUUGGUCAUUGAAAACAAGCAAGCUUGCCUUUUGUUGGGAGCUGCUGUUCCUGAAUCAUUCUCCUCAUACCUUGGCACCGCUCCAACUUCCUUGUAACCUUUGUUCCCUGCUUACCUGAGCGACAGUAGUGACUGCAAACUAAGAAACAUUGCUAAACCUACUUUGGGUCACCCAAAGUUUUUGGGCAUUACCCCAAUAUCCAUGGCUAUUAUGAGGACCUAGAUCUAAGUGAGUAAAAAUAAAGGUUAUAACUACUGACUAACAAAGUUGAAUUGUGGCUUAAUGAUCAAAACAGAACCAUAAGUUUAUGGAACAUGCACACACAUGUAAUUUUUCAAGAAGGAAGCAGGUUAAGACGUUACCUUCUGAGUCUUGAUUUCACAAUGGAGGUCAUGCAAGAUUGCUAGUGGAGAUUCAUCUUCAUAGUCUUCAAGAUGAAUGUUCACAUAAAAGAGUUUAGAAAGUAAAAGAGGUGUCUUAGUGUCUUAGCAUGAAAAUAACAUUCUACAUGGGAAUGCAAUCUCCUGUAUUAGCAGAAGAGAGGCUGGCCAUGAGCUGUCAGUGUGCUCCCACAGCCCAGAAAGCCAAUGGUGUCCUGGGCUGCAUCCACUGGUGGGCAGCAGGGCCAGGAAGGGGAUUUUGCCCCUCUGCUCUGCUCAGCCCCCACCUGCAGGGCUGCAUCAGCUCUCCAGCACAUGUGCUCUCCAGCACAGGGAGAACAGGGACCUGUUGGAGCAAGUACAGAGGAGGGACACCAGGAUGAUUAGAGGGAUGGAGCUCCUCUCCUGCAAGGAAAGGCUGAGAGAAGUGGGAUUGUUCAGCCUGGAAGAGAGGCUGCUCCAGGAUGAACUAAUUGCAGCCUUCCAGUACCUGAAGGGAGCUUCCAGUACCUGAAAGAUGGAGAAAGACUUUUUUUACAAAGGCAUGUAGUGACAGGGCAAGGGGGAAUGGAUUCAGAGAAAGAGAGAGAAGAUUUAGAUUAGAUAUUAGGAGGAAGUUCUUUGCUGUGAGAAUGAUGAGGCUCUGGAACAGGUUGCUCAGAGAAGCUGUGGAUGCCCCAUCUCUGGAAGUGUCCAUGCUCAGGUUGGAUGGGGCUCUGAGCAACUUGGUCUAGUGGAAGGUGUCCCUGCCCAUGGCAGGGGGUUGGAACUAGGUGAUCUUUAAGUUCUAGUCCAAUUCAAACCAUUUUAUGCUUCUAUAAUAUUAGAGAUGUUGGAAGUAUACAUUAAAGAAAGAGAGUCAAUAUAGACAAAAUCAAAGAGAACUAGUUCCUAUGAGGUACCUCACACAGCAAAAAACUGCUCUUUGUACAGUGUGUUAAACUCCACAGAGAAACUGCCUGGGCUUCCACUUGAACUUUGCAGCUAAUACUGUUGUCCUAGGGUGACGUUAUGGUGCUUGUACCCCCAGUCGUGUGUUCUGUUUAUGAUUUUAUGUUCUGUGCCUUCAGGACUGACUCCGAAAGUGAAGGAUUGUUUUGUCUUGUUAUCAGCCGGCUCACCUCCCCCCAUGCUCUGUGUCUAGGAGAGGCUGGGCUUGCUUGCUUGCUUUUGCUUAUUAGUUAGUUUAGCUAGGCAGUCCAAUUUUUACCCUGGACUGUUUCUUUUUCCCUUCCCUGAAUAUCAUCUGAACCUGCUCUGGAGCUGGACCUGGGAAACACCAAGAAACACCGAGAGCCUGCAUUUUGUGACCUGCAGCAGCCAUCCCCAGCGCAGGAGACCGAGAACUGGGCGACCACUCCCAGGAGAGAUUUUUCUGAAUUUGUCAUCUCUUCAGAGUGGUGAAAGAGUUUUGUCAUCUGGUGUUGUUUUUUGUAUUGGGGAGUGUUUUGCUUAUUAAAUAAAUAGGUUUUUUUCCCCACUUCUCUCUGAGGAAAUUCUUCCCGAACCAG